CCUACGGGAGGCAGCAGUUUUUAAUAUUUCCCCCUUUUGUCCCCCCUGCUGCCGCGACGCCGCGUGAGCGAGGAAGUAUUUCGGUAUGUAAAGCUCUAUCAGCAGGGACGAAAAAAGACGGUACCUGACUAAGAAGCCCCGGCUAACUACGUGCCAGCAGCCGCGGUAAUACGUAGGGGGCAAGCGUUAUCCGGAUUUACUGGGUGUAAAGGGAGCGUAGACGGCAAGGCAAGCCAGAAGUGAAAGGGCAGGGCUCAACCCUGUACAUGCUUUUGGAACUGUGGUGCUAGAGUGCAGGAGAGGUAAGUGGAAGUCCUAGUGUAGCGGUGAAAUGCGUAGAUAUUAGGAGGAACACCAGUGGUGAAGGCGGCUUACUGGACUGUAACUGACGUUGAGGCUCGAAAGCGUGGGGAGCAAACAGGAUUAGAUACCCGAGUAGUC
rnacentral:rRNA from 1 species